CAAUUGGACGAGGGGAAGGAAAAAGUGAUCGAAUAGCCAUAAAAGCCGUUCGACAACAUCCGAGAUUUCGCUCGAUAGCAAUCGGAUUCGGGAUCAAUAAAGUCGAAGUCAUCCACACUAUCAACGCCUCUAUUUUGGUAUAAAUUUUGGUUGAACUUUGAAAUGGCAUGUAUAGGACUACCCUUGUUGGUUUAAAAAUGUGGCGAUGUAUAUGUAUACCAUGCGAAAAUGGCUCGUAAAAGGAAGCAUGAACUUAGACUAUUUGUGGUUUGAAUGUAUAUAUAUGGUGUCAUGAUGUGAUUGUGGAUUGGAAAUGGGAGUGUUGGUCACAUGAUCAGCCAUUGGUAUGGUUAAAAUGAUCAUAUGUGAACCUAUGUAUGGCAAGACUAGUUGGUUGAUGGAGACUACAAAAUAGAUAAGACCUACCUUAAAACA